rnacentral:rRNA from 1 species
UACGAAGGGGGCGAGCGUUGUUCGGAUUUACUGGGCGUAAAGGGCGCGCAGGCGGCUUUGUUUGUCAGGCGUGAAAGCCCCGGGCUUAACCUGGGAACUGCGUUUGAUACGGCAGGGCUAGAGUUCGGGAGAGGAGAGUGGAAUUCCCAGUGUAGAGGUGAAAUUCGUAGAUAUUGGGAAGAACACCGGUGGCGAAGGCGGCUCUCUGGACCGAUACUGACGCUGAGGCGGCGAAAGCUAGGGGAGCAAACGGG